rnacentral:rRNA from 1 species
CAAUAGCGUAUAUUAACGUUGUUGCAGUUAAAGAGCUCGUAGUUGGAUUUCUGGAGGGAGCGUCGGCCCGUAUUUACGAGUGCGUGACGUCUCUGUCCAUCCUUGCGGGAAGGCACGGCAUUGAUUUGUUGUGUCGGAUCGCAUCAUUUACUGUGAAAAAAUUAGAGUGUUCAAAGCAGGCUUUCGCUUGAAUACAUUAGCAUGGAAUAAUAAGAUAGGACUUUGGUGCUAUUUUGUUGGUUGAGCCUAAAGUAAUGAUUAAUAGGGAUAGUUGGGGGCACCUGUAUUGCGUUGUCAGAGGUGAAAUUCUUGGAUUUACGCAAGACAAACAGCUGCGAAAGCGUCUGCCAAGGAUGUUUUCAUUAA